CGCGUAGGCGGUUAGAUAAGUCAGAUGUGAAAGCCUUGGGCUUAACCUGAGAAUUGCAUUUGAUACUGUCUGACUAGAGAUCGAGAGAGGAAAGUGGAAUUACGAGUGUAGAGGUGAAAUUCGUAGAUAUUCGUAAGAACACCAGUGGCGAAGGCGGCUUUCUGGCUCGAUACUGACGCUAAGGCGCGAAAGCGUGGGGAGCAAACAGGAUUAGAUACCCUGGUAGUCCACGCUGUAAACGAUGAGUGCUAGAUGUCGGAUAAGUAAUUAUUCGGUAUCGCAGUUAACGCAUUAAGCACUCCGCCUGGGGAGUACGGUCGCAAGAUUAAA
rnacentral:rRNA from 1 species